UUCUAAGCUCCUCCAUGUAUUUAUGAAAAUCAAGCCUAUGAUCUUCUCAGUUUAUUGUUCUUAUUUUUUUGGUUUAGAUCGGUUUACUUUAUAGAGUUUAUGAUGGCCUUUCGUUCAUCCAUUGUUGAUCUGUGUUGGCUUUGGUAUUUUUGGAAUUUGAGACUUAAUUUUCCCAUAGACCCUGUAUUUGGUAUCUUGAACUUUUGUGGAAUCCUAACCAAUUAUUUCUGAAUAUAUAUUGAUUUCGAUUAGAC
rnacentral:lncRNA from 1 species